rnacentral:lncRNA from 1 species
GGGGGGCGGGCCCUCCGGCCCUAGCCCUGGCUACGCCUCUGGGUCUAACUAAGCUGCGGUCCAAAUUGUACUAGGGAGCCUUUUUUAGAUCUACUGUAUGAAGGCCUUACAUUUAGAAACAUUAAAAAUCAUGUUACAACCCACGCCCCACUUAUAAAGGCGAUCAAAGUUUUUUUGGAGAAGUGUUCGUGACCCGGGGGAUCCAAGAGAUCCACAUAGUUUAGAGUCAUCUAUGAAAAGGGACAAUAGGGCCAUUUAUACGUGACAAAAUAAGUCGCGACUUACAUAUAAGACGCGACUUAAAUAAGUGGAGUUAUCGCAUAAAUGGUUCUCUACGGCUUUGGUCUUAUUUAUUUGCUAUAGCUAUGUUGUUUUGGUUGUUUUUGUUUUAAUAUGCAAGGCAUUAAAUUUUACGUUGUUUCAAGUUUCUGGCAUGUGUAGUUAGACUUUUUGUCCAAAAUUUCUUAUUUAAGAGGCGACUUAAAUAAGAACAGCUAAAAGACCUGUUCUUAUGUAAGACGCGUCUUAUCCAAGACGCAUCUUACAUAAGAAUUUUGUACCUUUUAUACCACAAACUCGCGUCUUACUGAAGUCGCGUCUUAUGUAAGUCGCGUCUUAUUUUGUUCCGUAUAAAUGGUGUGUUCGUGUAAGUCAUUCGCAAGAACAAUGAACAAAAGGAAUCCUUGUAUGGUACUUCCGAGGUGACUAAUGAGUAAUGACCAGUCGAUCAGCAUAAGCACCCGUAAAUCUACCCAUUGAUAUCUAUCAAUGGGUAGUUUUUAUUAACAAAUGAUGUUGAACCUUAGGGGCGGACCAUUANNNNNNNNNNNNNNNNNNNNGGGGGGGGGGGGGGGGGUAUAAAAUUUUUGGGGCACGAAUUUUUUUUUCAGUCUCGUGCCUCUGCAGGAAUUUUUUUUAAUGCAUUUAACCUCUGCACAAAUUUUUUUUCAAGACUAACAAAAGAGACUUAUAGUCAGGAAGCUAUGUGUUUAUAACCCAUGUAAGUAAGCAAAAUGAUUUGCUUCAAUACAUAUAUAUAUAUAUAUGAAAAGGUUAAAAAGAAUUUCUUCAGGCAUAAAAUUGGAAUAAAAAGAUGUUAAAAAUGUUUUAUUUUCCAGACGUUUCGCCGGUCAAGGCUUCAUCAGUGGAAGGUAAGGUAUCAUAUUGCCGAUUAUGCUGAAAAAUUUCAAUAAAAACUACCGAAACAACCGAAAUAUUUCAAUAUUUACAAGUAUAAGCUAUCACUAAAUUUGGGUCCAAUUUCGGCUUGUUUUAACCUGUUUUGAUUCUCCAGGACAGCAUGAGUAAGUACACUAGCUAUUCUGUGGUUCUAGACGUUUUGUGGUUGUAAACUAUUGACACAACACCGCUCUUUUUGAAAGGCGAUGCAAAGGUCCUGUUUGACUAUGAUGCCGAAGCUGACGACGAAUUAACUCUCAAAGAAGGAGAUCUUAUAUGGAAUAUUGAGAAGAAAGAAGAUGGCUGGUGGGAAGGAGAGCUACACGGAAAACGGGGAAUGUUUCCUGAGAAUUUUGUAGAGGAAAUUAAAAAACCUGUCGAUUCAAAAAAUACUGAAGUGAAACCAGUUCCUGACAAAAAUGGUAAGUUGGUCGACAGCUCGAGUCAGCAAUUCUAGACAAAUUAUCCUAGACAAGUAACUUAAUAUUUAUAUCCAAACACUUACCCAAAAAGGGAAGCUAUCUUACACUUCAACUAUAUCAAAAUAUACUGUAUUUAUAUAAAAUAUCCUGGC